rnacentral:rRNA from 1 species
ACACAUGCAAGUCGAGCGAUGAAAUUUUGACAGAUCCCUUCGGGGUGAAGAUAAAGUGGAUUAGCGGCGGACGGGUGAGUAACACGUGAGUAACCUGCCUUAGACAUUGGGAUAGCCUCGGGAAACCGGGAUUAAUACCGAAUAAAAUCACAGAUACACAUGUAUCCAUGAUCAAAACUCCGGUGGUCUAAGAUGGACUCGCGUCCCAUUAGCUAGUUGGUGAGGUAACGGCCCACCAAGGCGACGAUGGGUAGCCGGCCUGAGAGGGUGAACGGCCACAUUGGAACUGAGAAACGGUCCAAACUCCUACGGGGGGCAGCAGUGGGGAAUAUUGCACAAUGGAGGGAACUCUGAUGCAGCGACGCCGCGUGAACGAAGAAGGCUUUCGAGUCGUAAAGUUCUUUUAUAUGGGAAGAUAAUGACGGUACCAUAAGAAAAAGCCCCGGCUAACUACGUGCCAGCAGCCGCGGUAAUACGUAGGGGGCUAGCGUUGUCCGGAAUCACUGGGCGUAAAGGGUUCGCAGGCGGAAAUGCAAGUCAGAUGUAAAAGGCAGUAGCUUAACUACUGUAAGCAUUUGAAACUGCAUAUCUUGAGAAGAGUAGAGGUAAGUGGAAUUUUUAGUGUAGCGGUGAAAUGCGUAGAUACUAAAAAGAAUACCGGUGGCGAAGGCGACUUACUGGGCUCAUUCUGACGCUGAGGAACGAAAGCGUGGGUAGCAAACAGGAUUAGAUACCCUGGUAGUCCACGCUGUAAACGAUGAGUGCUAGGUGUCGGCUUAAGUCGGUGCCGCAGUUAACACAAUAAGCACUCCGCCUGGGG